rnacentral:sRNA from 1 species
GUUUACCUUAAUUAACAUCUAUUAACACGAAGACUGAUGUAUUUGGCAUUUUAGGAAACUAAGAUAAAUACAUAUUCGGAAGCAACAGAAACAUUCUCCACAGUACGUUUUUGUUUAUACAACAGUUUCCUUUUUCUACGCAAUGACAACCCCAAUCAUUGCGUUUUUUUUGUCUUUA